rnacentral:rRNA from 1 species
GACGAACGCUGGCGGCGUGCCUAAUACAUGCAAGUAGAACGCACAGUUUAUACCGUAGCUUGCUACACCAUAGACUGUGAGUUGCGAACGGGUGAGUAACGCGUAGGUAACCUGCCUGGUAGCGGGGGAUAACUAUUGGAAACGAUAGCUAAUACCGCAUAAUAUUAAUUAUUGCAUGAUAAUUAAUUGAAAGGUGCAAUUGCACCACUACCAGAUGGACCUGCGUUGUAUUAGCUAGUAGGUGAGGUAACGGCUCACCUAGGCGACGAUACAUAGCCGACCUGGGAGGGUGAUCGGCCACGCUGGGACUGAGACACGGCCCAGACUCCUACGGGAGGCAGCAGUAGGGAAUCUUCGGCAAUGGACGAAAGUCUGACCGAGCAACGCCGCGUGAGUGAAGAAGGUUUUCGGAUCGUAAAGCUCUGUUGUAAGAGAAGAACGGGUGUGAGAGUGGAAAGUUCACACUGUGACGGUAUCUUACCAGAAAGGGACGGCUAACUACGUG